UGAAUUGUUUUUAAAGAAAGAACAGACUCUGGAGCCAGACUGCCCAGUUAUUGGGAGUUUAAAAAUGGAGGGCUUAGUAAGUCCAUUAAUAUAGAUAUUGUCAUUUGCCCCUUCUGUGCAUGUCUCUCUGUUCCUGUCCCAUGGCCUUAAUCAAACAUCUGGACUUUAUUUCUCAACCUAUUCAUAGAGAUGAAGUACUGAAACAGAAAAAAAGGAAUCAGUGUUGAUCAGACUUUCAUUUCAAAUGAACCACUAAUCAAAUUUAUUAUAAUUACAUACUUUAUUGAAUU
rnacentral:lncRNA from 1 species